ACGUGCCUGGUAGGAGAAGAAGGGCUUGCCUGGGAAGAGCUAGUUCAGCUGUCUCUGAGAUUCUGCUACGCUGACAUGAAGCGAAAACAAGUGGACUUUCCCAUGGUUUUGUGAUGCCCUCUCCCACAUGGGCUCGCUUUCACCUCACAGCGAGGGAGCAAGGGCAUCUCCCAUUUUUACAAGCAGAUUCUCAAAGCCCAGCAAGUCGUUCCAGGCUAAUUUUAUGGCCAGCGUGAGGCCCGCCAAAACUAGGAACUGUGUUCUGGUUCCAAGUUAUUUUCUGUCAUUCUUCUGCCCUUUGUUUUGACCUGUUCCCGUUCCCUUUGUUCUUGCCUUUCACAGGCAUUUACAUGCCAUGCCUGUGCUCUUGGCGUGUUUACUUACCUCACCAAGGAAACAACAUACUCCAGAAGCCUUGAGGGACCCAUCAAGUCCACACGGCCUCUUCCUACACUGAGCACUCGGGAGGCAGAGGCAGGUGGAUCCCUGUGAGAUGGAGGCUAGCCUGGUCUACAGAGCGAGUCCCAGGCCAGCAGAGACUGGAGAAUGAAAGCCUGUCUCAAUAACAAACAGCAGAAGCUGCGUCUGAUGAAGAUCUGGAGGAGUUCUCAGUCCAGCCGGGGCUCCCUUCCUGGUGCUCAGAGGACACACUCGAGAGGGUGUCGAUGGAAUUGCGGUUGGCUAGCCAAACAGAAGCAGAAUUGAAGCCUGGUGACUUAUCCAGUGCAGCCACAGCCACCCAGAGAGAACCUGCUGUUCGGUGUGCAGUUUGAGUUCAUUAGAAAAAACCAAGACUCGGUGUCAGCAGCUGGGGUAAUUUAGCUCUGUCUAAUGGUAGAUGAGUAAGGCAGAAAACUCAUGGUUGGACCUCAGGGCUCCCAUAGGGACACGCCAUCUGCUCCUUACUCCACAGUCAGGGGCCUCUCAGUGCAGUGGUUAGAGCGUACUCUUCAUUUCUGGUACCCUACACAACUUCUGAUGCCCCGUACCCAUAUACUAGCAUGCUCAUGCACAUGUGUGAACAUGUGAACAUAAACAGAGAGAGGGAGAGAACACAGAUGCCUCUGCCCUUCCCUUGGAACUUUCCCCAGCUUCUCCAUAGGUCUUUCUUUAACAUUAUAUUUGGAAUUUUUUUCUGUCUGGUAAGAUUAACA